rnacentral:rRNA from 1 species
UACGAAGGGGGCGAGCGUUGUUCGGAUUUACUGGGCGUAAAGGGCGCGCAGGCGGCUUUGUUUGUCAGGCGUGAAAGCCCCGGGCUUAACCUGGGAACUGCGCUUGAGACGGCAGGGCUAGAGAUCGGGAGAGGAGAGUGGAAUUCCCAGUGUAGAGGUGAAAUUCGUAGAUAUUGGGAAGAACACCGGUGGCGAAGGCGGCUCUCUGGACCGAGACUGACGCUGAGGCGCGAAAGCGUGGGGAGCAAAC